GCCCUUUCAUAAAUGAACCUCUCCCAUCAUCAGACACAGAGAAGUUUCUAAAUAAUUGAGAAUCAGAAAAGUUAGCUUGUACAUCUAGAUGUUCCUCAUUUGCAUCAGAAUCUGUCCCACGUUUUCCAACCUUGAAGAAACCCUGCUCAUUUUUCGAUUUGUACUCAUUAUCUGUUUCCAUUUCUGACUCCAUGGUAGUAA
rnacentral:misc_RNA from 1 species